rnacentral:rRNA from 1 species
GUAGGGAAUAUUGGGCAAUGGAUGCAAGUCUGACCCAGCCAUCCCGCGUGCCGGAAGAAGGCCCUCAGGGUUGUAAACGGCUUUUGACGGUGAAGAAUCGACAGGAUGCGUCCUGUUUUGACGGUAGCCGUUGAAUAAGCACCGGCUAACUCCGUGCCAGCAGCCGCGGUAAUACGGAGGGUGCGAGCGUUGUCCGGAUUUAUUGGGUUUAAAGGGUGCGUAGGCUGGAAGGUCAGUCAGCGGUGAAAAGCUGUCGCUUAACGAUAGUCGUGCCGCAGAUACUUCCUUUCUUGGAUGAGGAGGAGGCCACUGGAACGGAUGGUGUAGCGGUGAAAUGCAUAGAUAUCAUCCAGAACACCGAUUGCGAAGGCAGGUGGCUGUACCUUAAUCGACGCUGAUGCACGAAAGCAUGGGGAGCAAACAGGAUUAGAUACCCUAGUAGUCC